rnacentral:rRNA from 1 species
UACGUAGGGUGCAAGCGUUGUCCGGAAUUAUUGGGCGUAAAGAGCUCGUAGGCGGUUUGUCGCGUCUGCUGUGAAAACUCGGGGCUUAACCCCGGGCCUGCAGUGGGUACGGGCAGACUAGAGUGCGGUAGGGGAGACUGGAAUUCCUGGUGUAGCGGUGAAAUGCGCAGAUAUCAGGAGGAACACCGGUGGCGAAGGCGGCCAACUGGACGGUGACUGACACUGAGACGCGAAAGCGUGGGGAGCAAACAGG